rnacentral:lncRNA from 1 species
CUUUUAUAACCCUUUCCAGCUUUAUGCGAGUCAACAAUUCUUAAUCGUAGGUCUUCUGAGAGCUCUUUUGUGUGAGGCAUCAUUCACAUCAGGCAAUGCUUCUUGUGAAAAGCAAACCCAGAACUGGUGUGUGUUUUUUAUAGGGCAGCUGUAACCAACACCUCCAAUCUCUUCUCAUUGAUUGGACUCCAGUUGGCUGACAUGUCACUCCAAUUCGCUCUUGGAGAUGUCAUUAG